AACGAACGACGACGGACGGAGUAGUUGUGGGUUUUAAAUUUCGAAGCAACGCGAAGAACCUUACCAGAUCUUGACAUCAAAUUGACCAUCUUUUAAUCGAGAUUUUGCCUUCGGGUACAAUUGAGACAGGUGGUGCAUGGUUGUCGUCAGCUCGUGUCGUGAGAUGUUGGGUUAAGUCCCGCAACGAGCGCAACCCUUGUGUUUAGUUGCAAACAGGUCAAGCUGCGCACUCUAGACAGACUGCCGUGGACAACACGGAGGAAGUGGGGAUGACGUCAAAUCAUCAUGCCCCUUAUGAUCUGGGCUACACACGUGCUACAAUGGCCGGUACAACGGGCAGCGAAGGAGCGAUCCGGAGCGAAUCCUAAAAAGCCGGUCUCAGUUCGGAUUGCAGGCUGAAACUCGCCUACAUGAAGUUGGAGUUGCUAGUAAUCGCGAAUCAGAAUGUCGCGGUGAAUGCGUUCCCGGGUCUU
rnacentral:rRNA from 1 species